rnacentral:lncRNA from 13 species
AUGAACACGACCCUGUUUGGACUUCCUGUCUGUACUGUGACCCAGGCUGGUUCUGGGGGCUGGAGUCCUGCUGCUCUAUCCGUCUCAUUGGUUACGCCUCAAAUGGCACCCUAUUCCCUACAUAGUGUACUGCUUUUGACAAGAGUCCUGUGGGCCCAAGUAGUGCAUCAUACGCUAAAGGGAAUAGGGUGCCAUUUGGGACGUACGGUCUUGCACAUGUCCAUCUACUGUCCAUCUACUAUCCAUCAUUCACAUGUCCAUCUACUGUCCAUCAUUCACAUGUCCAUCUACUGUCCAUCUACUGUCCAUCAUUCACAUGUCCAUCUACUAUCUAUCAUUCACAUGUCCAUCUACUGUCCAUCAUUCACAUGUCCAUCUACUAUCCAUCAUUCACAUGUCCAUCUACUGUCCAUCAUUCACAUGUCCAUCUACUGUCCAUCUACUGUCCAUCAUUCACAUGUCCAUCUACUAUCCAUCAUUCACANNNNNNNNNNUUUUUUUUGCAGCAAUUCAACCAUGAAUGCCUGAUUCACGCAGUCUCCUCUGAACAGUUGAUGUUGAGAUGUGUCUGUCUGUUAAUUGUGAAGCAUUUAUUUGGGCUGUAAUCUGAGGUGCAGUUAACUCUAAUGAACUUAUCCUCUGCAGCAGAGGUAACUCUGGGUCUUCCUUUCCUGUGGCGGUCCGCAUGAGAGCCAAUUUGUGGAGUGGUUGAAAAACAAGUUUUAAUGACUCCAACCUAGUGUAUGUAAACUUCCCACUUCAACUGUAACUGGCUUGUAUGUUAGAUGCUCCAUGAGAUCUAAUAAAAUAUCAUAGUGGUGAUAUUUUUGUGAAGUCUGUUAUUAUUAUUAAGAAGGUGUAAUUUGAGAGAGUAAAUAUCUACUUGGACCUUCCAGCUACUUGAACCUCCAGCACAAUCUCUACUUGGACCGUCCAGCUACUUGGCCCUCCAGCACAAUCUCUACUUGGACCUUCCAGCUACUUGAAACUCCAGCACAAUCUCUACUUGGACCGUCCAGCUACUUGGCCCUCCAGCACAAUCUCUACUUGGACCUUCCAGCUACUUGGUCCUCCAGCACAACUCUACUUGGACCGUCCA